rnacentral:rRNA from 1 species
UGGGGAAUAUUGGACAAUGGGGGCAACCCUGAUCCAGCCAUGCCGCGUGAGUGAUGAAGGCCUUCGGGUUGUAAAGCUCUUUUGGCGGGGACGAUGAUGACGGUACCCGCAGAAUAAGCCCCGGCUAACUUCGUGCCAGCAGCCGCGGUAAGACGAAGGGGGCUAGCGUUGUUCGGAAUUACUGGGCGUAAAGCGAGUGUAGGCGGUUGCCGUAGUCAGGUGUGAAAGCCUUGAGCUCAACUCAAGAAAUGCACUUGAUACUGGGUGACUAGAGGACCGGAGAGGAUAGUGGAAUUCCCAGUGUAGUGGUGAAAUACGUAGAGAUUGGGAAGAACACCAGUGGCGAAGGCGGCUAUCUGGACGGUUACUGACGCUAAGACUCGAAAGCGUGGGGAGCAAACAGGAUUAGAUACCCUGGUAGUCCACGCCGUAAACGAUGGGUGCUAGACGUUGGCGAGCUUGCUCGUCAGUGUCGCAGCUAACGCGUUAAGGCA